rnacentral:lncRNA from 1 species
GGGGGGGGGGGGGGGGGGGGGGGGGGGGGGGGGGGGGGGGGGGGGGGGGGGGGGGGGGGGGGGGGGGGGGGGGGGGGGGGGGGGGGGGGGGGGGGGGGGGGGGGGGGGGGGCAGCCCCCCCCCCGGACCCGCGUCUCCAUCCUGGUCCCGGCGCUGCAUCGCUGUGACCGCUCCAUCACCCCCCACACGUGGGAACGGCCCCCUGCAGCCCCCGGGCUGCCCGGACUCAACGAUAGCCGUGCACAUCUCCCUGAUCCUAUAGCCCUGCCCUACAUAUCCCAUAUACACUCCUCCAAUCCUAUAGCCCACCUGUCCCAUGUGUGCACGCGCAGCUGCACAGCCUCAUCCCACACAGCCACCCCAUGGAUGCAUGACCCUAUAUUCCUGCCCCACAUAUCCCAUAUAAACCUUCCUGACCCUAUAUCCCUGCCCCACAUAGCCAUAUACACCAUAUUAACCUUCUAUUCUUUCCCACAUAUCCCUUACACACCUCCUAACUCGAUAGUCCUGCCCCGCUUAUCCCAUAUACACCUUCCUGACCCUAUAGUUCUGCCCCACUUAUCCCAUAUAAACCUUCCUAACCCCAUCGUUCUGCCCCACUUAUCCCAUAUAAACCUUCCUAACCCCAUCGUUCUGCCCCACUUAUCCCAUAUAAACCUUCCUAACCCCAUCGUUCUGCCCCACUUAUCCCAUAUAAACCUUCCUAACCCCAUCGUUCUGCCCCACUUAUCCCAUAUAAACCUUCCUAACCCCAUCGUUCUGCCCCACUUAUCCCAUAUAAACCUUCCUAACCCUAUAACUCUGUCUCACAUAUCCCAUGUACAGCUCCCUAACCCUAUAACCCUGUCCCACAUAUCCCAUGUACAGCUCCCUAACCCUAUAGCCCUGUCUCACAUAUCCCAUUUACACCUUUUGCCCUUAUAACCCUCUCUUACUUGUCCCAUGUGCAUCUUUACUCUAGAACCCUGUCCCACAUACCCCAUACACAUCUUCUUAACCCUACAGCCCUUUCCCACUUAUCCCACAUAGACUUUCUUAGCCCUAUGCCCAGUCCCACAUCUAAGUUUCCUUCAGCCUAUAGCCCUUGUCCCACUAUGCACACCUUAAUCCAAUAGCUCUGGCCCAUUUAUCCCAUAUACCUGCACAGCUUCCCACCCAACACGUGCAACAACCCUACAGCCCUGUGACACCCUCCAUACUGAUCCACAUGUGGGUCACAUGGAUAAAUAAUCCUAUAGCCCUGUCCCUACACAACCUGAACACACAUCCUCAUCCCUAUAGCCCUGUCCCCCAUUUCUGGAUAUAACACUACAGACCUCAAAUGCACCUCACUGCCCCCACAGCCCCAUCUCUCACCCCAUACAUCCCUAACCCCUGCUCCACACCCCAUACAGAUGUGUACAGACCUCCCCCAGCCGCAGAACCCCAAUUUACAGCUUCACCCCUCCCUUGUUCCUUCUCCCAAAGCCAGCCCAGGACCCUCCUCAGCCCUUCCCCACCUUCCCAGAGCUCUGGGCACGGCAGGGAUGUUCCUCCCUCAUGGCCAGAGGGACCUGAAGGCAUCAAAGGGACAGAUCCCUGCUUUCUCCUGGCAUCCUUUCAGGCUGGGGAAAAACAGGAGAACAGGGAAGGGGCCAUAGAUGGGGAAGUCUCCAUGGUCUUCAUCCCACAGUUGGGGUGGUUCCACUGAGAAAAAUUAUUGCAGCCCCAUCUCUGUGUGAGCACAGGAGGCUAAAGCAGGGAAAAGGGGAAUCUCCUGCUCUGCCUCAUGUGCUGGGACAAUGGGGACCUAAAAAACUGCAGCCAUUUUCCACCCAUUGCUUCUGUGUCUUGUCCAGUCCUAUUUCCUGGGAUAUGGUCACGCAGGGAGUGCAGAAAUUCAGUAGAUGGGGAGAAGGUCAGCAUCCCUGUGCACGGCCUGGGCUUCUCAGGAGCCUGAGACAGGGUGUGGAGACAGAGCAAAAGGGCCAUCUGCCUUCACUGAAGGGACAUGGGGGAAGAUGUCCCAUCCCCACAGCUGACCACCCUCAGAGGAGGGGACCUGGGCAGCAAUGCCAGCAGCGAGCCCACGGCAGCUCCAGAUGGAGCCAAGCUGCUCAGCAGCCCUGGGUGCAUCACAGAUGGCCUGGGCAGCUCUUGCUGCUGGCUCCAGAGACCUGCCCUGAGCCACGGACAAGUUCUCUGCAGGUCUUGACUCGGUGCAGGCUCUGACCUGCUCCUCACGAAAGGAUUCCGAGCCUCCCUGCACCUCCCUGUGCCACCACGGCCUGGUGAGAGAGCAGCAGCACAUCCUGCUGUCAGCAUCUACUCAGAUCCUGGUCAGCACCUGACACUGAGCCUCCCUGAACUAUUUCUGGUUUGGGUUAGAGCACUCUUCAUUGUUAAACAAAAUAAAACGGAGGAAAAAUUAAUUUUACCAUAGAAGUUGUAGGCUGUAUGCAGAACCCUUUUUUUUUUUUUUUUUUGGACUCCUGGUGCUCAUCCAGAGCUUUCUAAAUGUCUGGACCCUAUUAAAUGUCAGAAUGCCCCAUGCCUGGGAAUGUCCAAGGCCAGGUUGGAUGGAGUUUGGAGCAACCUGGGAUAGUGGAAGGUGUCCCUGCCCAUGGCAGGGAGUUGGAGCUAAAUAACCUUUAAGGUCUCUUCCAACCCAAACCAUUCUGUGAUCCUGUAGUUCUCCAUCCAUCCAUCUCAUGGGGCAUAAAUCUGUUUUCUCUGGAUCAGCAGGUCUUCACAUGAUUUUCUCUGAGCUGUCACAUCAUUUCUUGAAGGCUUUCAGACCCUGGCAUUGUUCUUUGCUCUUUUUCAUGCACCUUCUGACAUUUCCCAACACCCUUCCUGGAAGGGACCAGGAGAUCCAGGGCCAGUCUCAUGGGAAAUCUGAAUUCUGUAUUGUCCUCUCUAUGUACUGCUCAUAUUUCCAAGAUCUGCAUUAUUGAGUUGUUCUGUUUAUCCACUGUCACCGAGAAAAAUGCCUUAUUUAUGAUGUGUACAAAUAAAGACAAAUUCCCAGACUCC